rnacentral:miRNA from 1 species
UUAACAGACUAUGAACACAUUU